GAUGAACGCUGGCGGCGUGCCUAAUACAUGCAAGUCGAGCGAACAGAUAAGGAGCUUGCUCCUUUGACGUUAGCGGCGGACGGGUGAGUAACACGUGGGUAACCUACCUAUAAGACUGGGAUAACUUCGGGAAACCGGAGCUAAUAUCGGAUAACAUUUGGAACCGCAUGGUUCUAAAGUGAAAGAUGGUUUUGCUAUCACUUAUAGAUGGACCCGCGCCGUAUUAGCUAGUUGGUAAGGUAACGGCUUACCAAGGCGACGAUACGUAGCCGACCUGAGAGGGUGAUCGGCCACACUGGAACUGAGACACGGUCCAGACUCCUACGGGAGGCAGCAGUAGGGAAUCUUCAGCAAUGGGCGAAAGCCUGACGGAGCAACGCCGCGUGAGUGAUGAAGGGUUUCGGCUCGUAAAACUCUGUUAUUAGGGAAGAACAAAUGUGUAAGUAACUGUGCACGUCUUGACGGUACCUAAUCAGAAAGCCACGGCUAACUACGUGCCAGCCGCCGCCGCGG
rnacentral:rRNA from 1 species